UCAGAACAUCCCCAAAGACUACCAACAGGUAUUUGUUAUUAGACAAGGCUAAAGUUCAUAUGAGAAAGUAAGAGAAGCCAGAAAAUCUGUGAAAAAAGAUAGUGUUGGUUUUUUAAACUGUAGCUACAGGAAUUACAACUUCUGGUUCAUAUAUAGGCAGAUCAAAACAACUAAGCCAGGAAACAUCUAAAUACUUAACGUAAAACUAGUAUACGGCACUUAAGGUAAAAAAAAAAAAAAAAAAAAAAAAAAAAAAGAUGGAUUAUUUGACAAGUGUUGGCAAAACUGGGUAGGCGUUGGUUUAAAAAAAAAAAGUUGAAUUUCUACCUGGACCUCAUAUACAAAAAUUCUAGAUGGCUCUAAAUUAAAAGUACAGUAUGAAACAAUCUUAAUGUGGGUAAGGGAUUUCUAGGUAUGACAAAUCCCGAAAUUAGAAAAGAUUUAUUUAAAAAGCUUAAGUUGUGCUUGACGAAGUAAAUACUUCAGGGAAAGUUUGCAGCUCCUUUCACAGAAAAUGAUUAAUUUCCUUGAAUUAUAAAGAGCUCCUACAAGUGAGUCGGACAACCUAGAAGAAAAUUGUUGAAUGUUUUAAGAGCUCACAGAAGACUGAAUAUGUUUUAAAGAUUCUCAACUCAGUCAAUUGAAACUUAGAUUGCUUUCACAUUGACAAAGUUCAGAAAGGCUUCUUGUCAUUUUACCUAGGCAACAGGGAAAUAGGAAUUCAUACAUUGAUAGCGGGAGUAUAAAUUAGCAGAGUAUGAAGGGCGGUUUAGAAACAUGCUUCUUUGACAUCUAAAUCAUCCCCUCAAUACCUAACCUAUAUAAUAGGUAGCUCAUAAACAAAUGGAAAGUCUUUUCACAUUCACUAAAUUCACAAAAACUGAAAAUGCCAGCUGUUAAUAAAGAUAGGUGACAUAGAAACAAGAACCCUUACAAUGAUAUUUUAGUGUAACUACUUUAGAAACCAGUGUGCCAUUACCUAGUAAAGUUAAAUGCUUGCAUGUGCUGACUCAGCAGUAAUCCUACCUUAAAACAAGUUCAUAUGUGUGCCAGAAAAUAUAUGAGUCUGCAUGUCAGCAUUGUAAACAGCAGAAAAGAAAAAAAACCCAAUAUCCCAUAGGAUGGGUAAAAUUUUUUAAAUGGUCCUGAUCAAAAGAAGCCAGUUUCAGUAAAAUGCCUACAGAGAAAUGAUUUAUAUAAAAUUCAAAAACAGACAACACUAAAAAAUGCACACAUAAGUGUGUUAUACAAAAUUAAGAUGGUUACAUUUUGGAAAGAGCUGAGGGUGUAAUCAUGAAGAGUUUGGUGGUGAGUACAUUUUACUGUUCUUAAAUGGUACAUAAAUAUAUACUCAUGCAUAUUUCAUAUAUAGCUUCCUAGCACCCGAGAAGAUUUAUCUGGUAACCACAAACUAGCAUACUGAUCUCCCUUUAUGUCUUCAGCAAGCUCAUCUUUUAUAAUAAAAUCAGGCCUGCCUGGAUAAAAAAGCAGGUAAAUUUAUGGUAAUACAAUAGAUGUGUUAGCUCAAGUUUAUUUCCUUCCAGCAUACUUAGGGACUAAAGGUCCAUGAGGGCUUUUGUUGUUAAACUGUUAAGGUAUCUGGUACUUCCUACAAGAUCAAGCAAUGUGUCUAUAUUCACCUUCUGGCAUCUUUAUUGAUAAACUUCUCUAGGUACUUUGUUUUUACAUUUUCAUUUUGAAGGCACGUUUUCCCAAAUAGAAAAUGUGUUUAAGAUGUCUUCCUAACACUUGUUAACUUACCACAACUUAGAUUUUAAAAAAUUCAACUUAUGUUCAGAGGCCCACUCUAUUGAAAAGGAAAGAAUUGGUGGUUACUGAGCGCUUCCUGCAUGUCUGCUAAAAUUUAACAAGCAUUUCUGGUUUUAAGCCUCAUCUCUUUUGUCAGCUGUAGGCAUACACAUUUUCUUUAAGCAUCUUAAAAUGAAUUUUAAUUUUCCUGAAAUCCUUUUAGGACUAGCUUAAAUAAUGCCCAAAUAUUAUAAAUUCAUAGUAUUUCCACUAGAUGGUGCCAUUGACCUGUAUUAAUCAUAGAAUAUUAGUACAGUAUUUUGUAAGAACAUAAAAUACAUUCAUAUAAGGAGCUCCUUAAACUCACCCUCAGUUAACAUGACAUUUUUACAUGGAAAGAAUCUUGAAAAUUGUUUUCUUUACAGCAGUUUUUCUUUUUUUUCCUCCUUUUCUUUUUCAGCAGCCCCCAGAGCAUAUGGAAGUUUCCCAGCCAGGGAUCAAAUCCAAACUGAAGCUGUGACCCAUGCCAUAGCUGCAGCAACCCUGGAUCCUUAAUCCACUAUGCCAGCCCAGGGGUCAAACUGGUGCCUCCACAGAGACAAGCCAGAUCAUUAACCCAGUGUGCCACAGUGGGAACUCCUACAGCAAUUUUAAAAUUUCAAUGAACUUCUCCCUUAGAACACAAAUCUUGCGGAUGUUUCCUUAAAUUCAAGUAAGGGAUUGUGAUCUAAGCAGGACAUCUCAAACUUUAAUGUGCAACCUUGUUAAAAUGAAGAUCCUGAUUCAGUAAGUCUAGGUGGAGCCCAAGUUACUGCAUUUCUAACAGAUUUCCCAGUGAUGCCUUGCAGCUUGUUUAUGGACCUUACUUUGAUUUAGCAAAGACCAAGAGAGUCCUUGGGAACCUGACGUUCCCUUAUGACAUCAGGAACUGAAUAGAUCACAUUUCACAAGAAAGCAGGGGCUUCUGGCUAUUUUGUUUGCUCAAGUGUCUUCAGUACCCUGAGCAAUUCCUGAAACAAAAGUAGAUGCUUAAUAAUUUUUGUUGAAUGAAACAAAUGGGGACAGUAUCUAAGUAUAUGCUAAUUCCUUUCAUUUUCUUGAUAGUCUAUAACGUCAGCUCUAUUAUUAUUCCUGUUCAUAGAGAAGGAAACUAAAAUUAUAUGUAGUGGAACCAUGGAUUUAAACUCAAAUAAUUGAAUUUGUCACAGUGGCCCCAGAGCCCAUGCUUUUAACAAAAAUGCUAUACUGCCACUUAUUUUGAGGUACCCUGUCAUUAACAAAAUGUGAAGUCCCAAACUGAUUCAGGCAAUUACUGCCCAAAGGCCUGCCCUAAUAUAUAUGCUUUUGGUCACUUGUUCUUGAGAGACAUGCAGCCCAACACUCAGGGUUCAUGAAAGAAAAUGCCACCAGUCCUUACCCCAUCAUCUAAUUUGGUUAGAUCUUGUAGCUUCCACCCCAAAUUACAGGUGAUCAAUAAAGACAGGAGCCUCUUAAAUUCCCCUACAUAUCCAGCAAAUAGAUUUAUUUAACACCACCUACCUAGCAGGUCUUUUGCUGGGCCAGGGUUUUGUACUGAGACAUCUCUGGCUUCUUCAUGGGAAUUGCCCUUCCAGUUAUCAUAUUGUCAGAAGACAGUGUUACUUUACAUUGUGUUUUUUUUGUUUGUUUUUUCUAAUCUUCUGCAGCUACCACUUGAUCUCAUUUGCAAAUAU
rnacentral:lncRNA from 1 species